rnacentral:rRNA from 1 species
GCAUAUCAAUAAGCGGAGGAAAAGAAACCAACAGGGAUUGCCCUAGUAACGGCGAGUGAAGCGGCAACAGCUCAAAUUUGAAAUCUGGCCCUCGGGUCCGAGUUGUAAUUUGUAGAGGAUGUUUCUGGCGACGUGUCUUCCGAGUUCCCUGGAACGGGACGCCAAAGAGGGUGAGAGCCCCGUCCGGUCGUACGCCUAGCCUCUGUGAAACUCCUUCGACGAGUCGAGUAGUUUGGGAAUGCUGCUCUAAAUGGGAGGUAUACGUCUUCUAAAGCUAAAUACCGGCCAGAGACCGAUAGCGCACAAGUAGAGUGAUCGAAAGAUGAAAAGCACUUUGAAAAGAGGGUUAAAUAGUACGUGAAAUUGCUGAAAGGGAAGCGCUCAUGACCAGACUUGGGCUCGGUUAAUCAUCCGGCGUUCUCGCCGGUGCACUUUGCCGGUCCAGGCCAGCAUCAGUUCGCCUCGGGGGAUAAAGGCUUCGGGAAUGUGGCUCCUCCGGGAGUGUUAUAGCCCGUUGUGUAAUACCCUGUGGCGGACUGAGGUACGCGUUCGCAAGGAUGCUGGCGUAAUGGUCAUCAGUGACCCGUCUUGAAACACGGACCAAGGAGUCGUCUUCGUAUGCGAGUGUUCGGGUGUUAAACCCCUACGCGGAAUGAAAGUGAACGUAGGAGAGAGCUUCGGCGCAUCUCCGACCGAUCCUGAUGUUCUCGGAUGGAUUUGAGUAAGAGCAUACGGGGCCGGACCCGAAAGAAGGUGAACUAUGCUUGUAUAGGGUGAAGCCAGAGGAAACUCUGGUGGAGGCUCGCAGCGGUUCUGACGUGCAAAUCGAUCGUCAAAUAUGAGCAUGGGGGCGAAAGACUAAUCGAACCUUCUAGUAGCUGGUUUCGCCGAA